AUUCAAACAUCAAUCUAUAAUGUUCUUCAAUCAAGAAAAGUAAUCUAAUAUGAUUUUUCCUUUCUCUAGUCUUCUCUUCCCUAUUCACACACUCAACCUCAACAUCAAGAAUUUCAGUUCUGAAUUGAUAGGAAUAUGGCCCAUUGAUCUGAUCUUUGAAUUUUUAAAGGAGAGCUCACAAGCAGGACUUCCAUAG
rnacentral:lncRNA from 1 species